GAGCUUGGAAUUUUGAUUGGUUGUCAGCUAGAACCCACCAAUCGAAUGUUUGGAGUGCCAUGCUCAAAACUCUGUUUUUAAACACUAUCGAUGUUUUAACAUUGUCAGAUGCAGCUCUGCCACCAUGGGUUGGUUACGAUCAAGAGGACAUCAUGCAGGAGCAAAUUCGAGCUCUCUCAGGACAAAAAUUAUUUUUUACGGGACCCCUCUGUUGGCGUGCGGUUUUACUUCGACUUUGAGCAAACGUUUUCUGUCGCCUUGGUGAUGCUGGAGGAGGAUGGGCUCCUCAGGAUGAUACGCUUCCAUCUGGUCCCCAGAGAGUGAGAAUGUUUCACUUACGUAUUCAUCAUGACGAAGGGAAUGUCUCCACCAGUCUGCCUGUUUCUGAAUUUGUGAGUGAUGCCUUUAAAACAUCCACGACAAACGAGGAGGAUCUGCAGAGGAGGAUCUGCAGAGAGAUUUGUGUUAGACAAAGUGGAACAUCCACACAGCAGACAGAAGUAUUUCCUGAGUGAGAGAGAGCUGCAGGAAGAGCUAGAGGAGAGAUUGAAGACAUGGUUAAUGAGGCCUGUGAUAAGAUUUAACAUUUUGAACAGCAGGAGGAUGUUGUCCUCAAAGAAGUCUGAAGGUGUUACCAUGUAAUGUUAUCAACAAGGUUGUGAUUAUCAGGCAAACCUUCAUAAAAGACCUGACCACGUUUGCACAUUGAAGCUCAUGAAGUUGUUGCACUGACUCUGCUGUGUUUCAUACAGAAUAUCUUCAGAUAACAGGAUAAACUGAAACUACUUGUAUUCUGUUGGAGUACCUGUGACUAAAGCUGGGGAACAAGAACAAGAUGUUUUUGCCAGGUUUUGACUCAGAAUUCUCAGCUGGGCAUGGAUGAGUUAGCAGAAAAAUUUGUGUGCGUGAAGGGGUAAACUGUGUGACAGAAACAGACACACAACAUGUUCUUUUAUAUAAUAAGAAAAGGUAACAGCUUAAAUGGCGUAAUUUUAAAAUUAAUUUCCAAACUUUUGAUUCAUAUUAGUCUGAUCAAGACAAUAGAGCAAAGAAGCAGGUCAAGUAAAUGAAUAAAAAAAUUGCAAUAAUAUAAUAUCUAUGCAUUAUAUUUUUACAAUUUCUGUCAGUUUUUGUAUUUAUUUAUUUUUUUUAUUUAAGUUUGAAAACAACAGAAAAUUAUUAAUCUAUGAUAGUAUAAUUUGUUUUUUUGGCAUGUGAUUUUAUUGAUAUAGAAUUUGACCAAAAGUAAUGAAUACAUUUAUAAAGUGCUUAUUAUUGGUAAAUAAGGGGGAGCUGCAUGUCGUUCAUGUUGGUUAACGUCCUUCUCUUCUACCUUCUUGCUAAAAGUGUAGCAGUUCGUAAACAUUACAUUGGCUCAUUACUGCCACCCGCUGGUGGUUUGUUUUCCUCUUCAAAUGUCGUCCUUUAGAGAGUUUGAUGUGUUUAGGUGGCUUUAGUCUGUGGCGCAGGUGAUCCCAACUCUUUCAUACAGAAAUCUGCUUAAACCAGUCUGUUAGGUUGAACUCAGUGUUUUCAAAAUCUAUAAAAACGAUUAAAUUGUGUAAUAAGUCCCCAGUUUAAGAUGAUUCUCUGCCUGAGCCAAAUGUUUGUUUUAAAAAAAAUGUUGAAUUGCCUUUUUAGUGUGUUUUUCAUUUCUAUCAUAUUUUGUAUCACUUCUUAAAAUGUUUCCCCAGAGUCAAAUAAAUGGAUGACUGAAGAUAUUUACAGUACAGACACACCUUCUCAUUCAAAGAGUUUUCUUUAUUUUCAUGACUAUGAAUAUUGUAGCUUCACACUGAAGGCAUCAAAACUAUGAAUUAACAUGUGGA